GUUGGAAAUAGAUAUAUAUACAACAAAGUUGUAUAUACAACAAUGUAUAUCCUAUAUAUACAACAAUGUUGUAUACCUACAACAACGGUAUAUCCUAUAUAUACAACAAUGUUGUAUACCUACAACAACGGUAUAUCCUAUAUAUACAACAAUUGUUGUAUACCUACAACAACGGUAUAUCCUAUAUAUACAACAAUUGUUGUAUACCUACAACAACGGUAUGUCCUAUACCUACAACAAUAGCAAUCUGGCAACAUCGCAGAAUGGGCGGCAACGACAAGCACUGAAAGGCUCGUGGACGACACCGACUGCCGGCGCCGGCUCACGGUCGUCGCCGCCAUCUUGCCAAGCGGAGCGCGGACCGGAGCGGAACUGUGAAAAUUCCGGAAAACGAAGCCACGAGCACCAGAAAACAGGAAAUGCUAGUGGAAGAUUCGCCGUAUUGUUCACAGGGACAAACGACCUGGGGACGACCCUGCGCGUCCACGUCUGGACGGUGCCGAUUCCCGCGUGGCAUGGACACGACCCGAGGAAGGAAGGAUUUGGCCUUGUUGAGGUUGAGCAGCAGGCCCAGCAAAUGUCGUCCGCAGUGGCGACGAAAUGCAAAACAGGACACCUGGAUGGUGCCGAUUUUUGUUCGGUCGAGGAAGGAAGAUUUUUGUGCGGUCGAGGAAGGAAGGGUUAGGCCUUGUUGAGGUUGAGCAGCAGGCCCAGCAAAUGUCGUCCGCAGUGGCGUUCAAAUGCAAAACAUGACACCUGGACGGUGCAGAUUUUUGUUCGGUCGAGGAAGGAAGGGUUAGGCCUUGUUGAGGUUGAGCAGCAGGCCAGGUGAAUGCCGUCCGCAGUGGCGAUUAAGAUUCAGUGCAAGUAACCAUGGAUAUGGAGGGAGCUGUCAUAAUCUCCUUGGACUUGAUUGGAUAUCCAUGCUGGAUUCUUGCUCUGCGCGUGCUUCUUCAGCUUGUCCCGGUGCUCGUUACUUGUCCCUUUUGGUCGACCACGGACCUUUGGUUUUAGUGGAAAACCAAUCUUCUGCUGAGAAGUGAUGUUUCUCAAAAACUCUGAUGCUGGAAGAAAUUCUUCUUCAUGAGCCACUGCAAUUUCCACCGAGCCAUCUUUAUCCUCCUCGAAAUCCUUGCCUGCCUCUUGCCCAGCAGAUUCAACUUCUGACACUUCAACCAGCGCCAAUCCGUCUUCCGCAGAGCCAAUUUCCCGACCCUGUGACUCCUCAGCUUGCACAGAAUAGUUUGCCUGUGCCUCAACAUUAUUUCCAUCAUCUUCGCAAGAGACAGAGCAGACUUCUUCAACGUCAAAAACUCCUACGUCUUCCACUGGACGCAACACAUUCGCAUUUCUGCCAGCUAUAAAUGUGAAUUAAUAAGGAGGCAGCUGCUGCUCACAAGUUUGGUAUUGAAUGGUCCAGCGCAUUGGGAUUUCCACAGCAUCGAUCAUGGGAAGCCCAAUUUCCUUCCUCAGAGCCAUGAUGUGGUAGCAAGGUUGAAUCAAACAGGAGCAGCUCUGGAAAUUUUGCGUAAUUCUUCUUCAUCUCUGAGGUUGCGAUGAAAAGACAUGAGAAGUUGCCCUCCGGACCAGUGAUGAUUGUGUAUGAUCCUAAUUACAAACAUAAUAUGCAAUGGCAAUCUAUUGGCAUGAUAUGGUUCAGGACUUGGGGUCUAAAGGAUUGAGAAAGCCUGGUGUCAGAUAAGUGAAACAUAACAAGUUGAUAAAUGUGUACUUUGUGAGCUCCUAUUUUUUCAGAUUCCGGAUGGUGGAUCUCCAUUGGCAAAAAAAUAAGCUGGUAUGCGAAUGUCAUAAAUAAUAUUCAAACCCUCUGAAACGAGAACUAAAGGUGCAUGGAGACAAGAUAAUACCUAAUGAAAUCAAAAUGUGCUGUCAUCGAGAGUUCACUACUUGAGAAACUCGAUUUUAAUCAUAUAACCAUCUUUAGAAUAUUUACAUGUGAAAGUAUACCAUUUUAUAAUCAAUAGAAAAUUUUGUAGCCAGAUUUUUAUGUGUUAUAUUGAUAUAUUACUUCUCAUUGUCCAGAUCCUUGGGUAGGACUGCUUUCCCCGUCUCCUUCAUGAUAACCUCUCUUAUCUUGGUUGGAUUCACUCCAAGGUCGUCAAGCUGCUGCAGACGCUCCUUCUCUGUGUUGUUCAAUCUACGCUGCUUAGGGUAUUGUGCAAAAUCAGCCGGACAUGGUUUGUGCACCUUUUCAUGUACGUCUGUGGUCACGUGACAGUCGUAGAUGUAUAGCAUUUCAUUACGAGUGCCCACCUUGAAAUAGGCACCACAGCCAAGUUUGUAGGAUCUGAAAAAUUAUUGUUCCUUAUAACAAUGUAGCUAAUGAUAUGCAAUAUUGAAAGAAAAAAUUUGGAUAAUAUGUAUUGCAUACAAAAAUCAAAAUAAUAUGUGCUUAGCAUUAAGGAUAUGUGAAGUUUUUGUAUUAAUGUAUUACAAAUAAUCACAAUUUUCAAAUUAAGGGCACAGUGUAGUGCAAAUUAUUCUCAUGUUUCCAAUUGCUCAAAAUCCCUCAUAACUGAAUGCACAUGUUGGAAAAUAUGUAAUGUAUAUUUACUUCUGAUUGGGGCGCUGCCCUGUCGAACGACCAUCAACGGGAUCUCCAUAAUGGAUACAUGCAUAUUUGGCAGAUCUAAUGACCAAUUUGUUCUUCUUUGUCUCCAAUUUGGCCCUGGCCGCUGCAUCAACCACCUUGUCAGAGAUUUUUAUGUAGUUGCUGCUUAGGCAUGUAUACACAAUGAAGGUUUCUUGUUCCAAUGCCUUAAUUGCCUCUGAAAGAUCACUAAAACUUUUGAAGGUCUUGCCAUUUGUGAUUGACAGUGUUUGUGCCAUUUUACAAAACCGCUUGAAUCACAGAUCACAUACAGACUAAAGAGCAGGAGCACAAGCAAAGAGUACCCAGAGCUGCAGAUCUAAUUGAAUUUGAGCAGUGUUGAAACAUGUUCUGUUUGCCUGCUGUUCCCCCUCUUACACUCUCAAAGUUCCAUUCCCUGAUUGCAAGUGAAGAUGCAAUAAUAAUACUGUGCUGUCACCUCUUUUUGUUUGGAGAAUGAUGUUUAUGUAUUUGUAGCCAAUCUAGCUGCCGCAGAUUCACAAAAAAAUUAUUGUAAAAAAUUGUAUUAAUAAAACACUGAUUGUGUUUUCCCAUCGA